rnacentral:rRNA from 1 species
AACGAACGCUGGCGGCGCGUCUUAACCAUGCAAGUCGAGCGGCAGGCAGCAAUGCCGAGAGCGGCGGACUGGUGAGUAACACGUGGAUAACGUACCCCGAUGUCCGGGACAGCCUGUAGAAAUAGAGGGUAAUACCGGAUAGAUCACUGUUUACGUGAGGUAGACAGCGGGAAAGGAGCUUCGGCUCCGCGACGGGAUCGGUCUGCGGCCCAUCAGCUGGACGGCGGGGUAAAGGCCCGCCGUGGCGAGGACGGGUAUCCGGCCUGAGAGGGCGGACGGACACAUUGGAACUGAGAUACGGCCCAGACUCCUACGGGAGGCAGCAGGUAAGAAUAUUCCGCAAUGGGGGGAACCCUGACGGAGCGACGCCGCGUGAACGAAGAAGGCCGGAAGGUUGUAAAGUUCUUUUCUGUCCGAGGAAUAAGUUUCGGAGGAAAUGCCGGGACGGUGACGGUAGUGCAGGAAUAAGCACCGGCUAAUUACGUG